CCAAACCGAUCCUGGUUGACCUUAAGAUUCAGGUCUGGUCUGCCAAUCGCGAAAAAAAAGCGUCGAAGAGCGAUAAGCUGAGAUUUGAAAGCUGUUUCGAGGGGGAUUGACAAGCUGUUCCGCUGCUACUUUCUGGGAAGACUGAAAAAGAGCAGCAGCGAGCGGAGGGGACUGUCAAAUUUGUGUGGAAUUGAUAUCAAUUGUUGGGCGCUGACGCCGCAUGUAAACAGAAUGAUUAUGCAGACAACAAAAGCGGGCGUUAGCUUCGUCACCUUGCCACACACAGCCGACAGUAAUCAUCCCGAUAAGCGGCAGGCACUACCCCUGACAGGCCUCCACUAAAACACAAAAUAAAAACAUUAAAAUUAUGUGCUUGAUUAGGUAGUUUGUGUACCGCUUAAAUCAGAUGAUGAAAUAUAUACAAAACUCUUGCGUCAGGGCACAGAGCACGCUUUUUGCCAGU